UCUGGGAUCACAUCACACUGAACACGUCGAAUCUUGUCUGACCUUGAAAGCUAAGCAGGGUUGGGCCUGGUUAGUAUUUGUAUGGGAAAAGAGACAUCUGGAAGAUGAUAGAU
rnacentral:rRNA from 1 species